ensembl:lncRNA
GUGGGAUCCACUAGUGGUUCUGGGGGGGUAGUGCUUUUGUGACAACAAUUUUGUGCCACCCCCCUAAAUGUGGAGUUUGAAAUUAUUUUUACAUAACUAAUUUUUGCUAUCAUUCUUUUUUUUACAUCCAUUAUUAGACAGUGGCAGAUGAUGAUUAAUGAACAUGGUGUUCCUGCAAUGCAGUGAAUAAAACGAUAUGACAACGUCUAAUGUAGCUGGCCCCUCUAACAGUACAACUGGCCCAGCUUGGCCCCCCCAGUUGAAAUGGUCUAGAACCACCACUAGUAGGAUCUUCCACAGCCCAGAGGUGCAGAAAUCGUACUGCCAGAGGAGUUGGGGAGAUCAGAAUGGGCAUUCUGUUUCAUGUUGGUAUUGUCAAGUGCUAGCCCGUCUCCAGAUCCAACCUGACACCAGGGUUGUGUUCAUUGGGCACCAAAUGGAAGAACAUCAACUGAAAUGCGAAGAGAGAGAGAGGAGGAGGAGGAUGAGAGGAAGAGGAGGAGAGCACUGAAGACGUCUGCUUACAAGUCGACUGCCUCCACAUGAGAGGGGAGAUUCAGUCCAUCGUCAGCCCCUUACUGUAUGUGUGUGUGUCACAAGUGACACUGACUCUCUUGCUAGACUAGACUGCCAUUCUGCCUUUAUAUUUAUAUUAGCACCAUGUCUUUUUAUUUUGCCAUCAUCCCCUAUUUACAAGUGCCUUUCACUCAAGUGUGUUAUCGACCAUGAUUGCAUUCACCUAACGUCUGACAGUCUCACGUGUGAAAUGGACUUGCAAGAACUAUUUGUUGCUCGCACAGUGUAAAUUGACUAAGAGACAGCUGUUAAAAUCCCUAUCACCCCCCGCCCCCAAACUAUAGAAAAGGGGAAUGAACACUUACCUAUGGUGUGACCUGCUCCUGCUCCUAGACUACUGCCCCUUGCCACCGUUCGCCUACUCUGUGGGAAAAAGACAACUCUACAACGCUUUCACUCUACAUUUCUUGCGUGUGACUGUGACUCCACCACUGAUUUGCCCUGGCAUAGGAUAAGGGACAGCUGGCAGAGCCAUCACCGAGCCAGACUACCGAGGGGAACUCGCGCAAUAGCACUAGCUAAAGGAAAGUGCUUAUUUCAAGUGUGUGAGUUUCCACAUUGUGAUCAGUAUACCCCCUCAUUGUGCUUCUUGUGUUUCCCCGCCAGUUGCUGUCUCGACUCCCUCACGCAACCAGCCGACCCUCAUCCCGAACACGAAACAACGAGCCUCUGGACUGGACUCGCAAGGGCGCCCCCACUGGUUGUAGUAGGUGGAACAGAAUUCCCCCAUUUCUUUGGACUGAACUGCUUUAGUAUGGUAACAUUGACUGGGAGUUUUCUAACAGCCUUGAUGUGUUUUGUUAAGAGUAACUUCUGCUGUUUAGCUAACAGGCUCAUUUCUUGGUUAAAUCUGGGAUUGUAAAUUCUGUUUACGCUGAUUAGCUGCUGCAGUUUUUUUUUCUUUCUUGGGCUCCGUGACAAACGGGCACGACUACUUGUUUCGGGCCCUUACUUCCCGUCGUUUUUGUGCAAUACCGCCCUAGUUUUCCCGCGGCCUUGUGUGAAUACAUUCUCUUGUCAGCUGACCUCAAUGUAAGUUUUAUAUUUAGUAUGGUAACAUAGGAAACAACCAAUCAUUUUAAGCCAUUGUUGUAAAAGCCAAACCUGUAAUAAAGAACCUUUGAUGGUA